UUUAAUAUUGAUGUGACGAAAGAGGAGAACAGAGAUUUCAUCUGGUUCAUGAAGCAGUUUCUCUAUCUGGAUUGUGCUUCGGAUCCAACUAUAGCGACUACUCUGGGUGGCACAUGUCUCGAUCUAACGUUCACCCGGAACGUAAGUGUGGAAUGCAGGAGAUACUGCACGUACUUCUCCUACCACCGGCCUAUUUUGUCGAUUCUUGCGGUGUCCCGAGAACCGAUGCCAUCCCAGUGAAGUGAAUUAACGUCACUGAUCGUCGUUGGUCCGCUAGUUCAUCUGCCAAAACGUUCGAUUUCAACCAGAAUGACCAAUCAUUGACAUCAGCCGGACAGUCCGUAGCAAAAAUAGAUAAUUGAUCCUGAAAAUGAAACUUGAGUAUUUGAUUCAGCCCAACAGUGGAUUGAUGCAUCCUUUAACAUUCAUCGGGACCACGGC